ACAGAAUUGCUUGAACCUGGGAGGCAGAGGUUGCAGUGAGCCAAGAUCGUGCCACUGCACGCGAGCCUGGGCAACAGAG
rnacentral:snRNA from 1 species